GUGUUUAAUGAAACUGAAGAAUUAGGUUAGCAUUCCCUUUAACAAGAAUGGGAAAAAUUCUAGUGAUGGAUGCCAUAUCCAUAUGUUUAAGGCAUCACACCUCUUUAUAGCCAGCUAACACUAUUUUUA
ensembl:snRNA